GUGCUCGCUUUGGCAGCACAUAUACUAAAAUUGGAAUGAUAUAGAGAAGAUUAGCAUGGUCCCAGCGUAAGGAUGACAUGCAAAUUCGUGAAGCAUUCCAUGGAAAA
rnacentral:snRNA from 1 species